rnacentral:rRNA from 1 species
GAUGAACGCUGGCGGCGUGCCUAAUACAUGCAAGUCGAGCGAACGGACGAGAAGCUUGCUUCUCCGAUGUUAGCGGCGGACGGGUGAGUAACACGUGGAUAACCUACCUAUAAGACUGGGAUAACUUCGGGAAACCGGAGCUAAUACCGGAUAAUAUUUUGAACCGCAUGGUUCAAAAGUGAAAGACGGUCUUGCUGUCACUUAUAGAUGGAUCCGCGCUGCAUUAGCUAGUUGGUAAGGUGACGGCUUACCAAGGCAACGAUGCAUAGCCGACCUGAGAGGGUGAUCGGCCACACUGGAACUGAGACACGGUCCAGACUCCUACGGGAGGCAGCAGUAGGGAAUCUUCCGCAAUGGGCGAAAGCCUGACGGAGCAACGCCGCGUGAGUGAUGAAGGUCUUCGGAUCGUAAAACUCUGUUAUUAGGGAAGAACAUAUGUGUAAGUAACUGUGCACAUCUUGACGGUACCUAAUCAGAAAGCCACGGCUAACUACGUGCCAGCAGCCGCGGUAAUACGUAGGUGGCAAGCGUUAUCCGGAAUUAUUGGGCGUAAAGCGCGCGUAGGCGGUUUUUUAAGUCUGAUGUGAAAGCCCACGGCUCAACCGUGGAGGGUCAUUGGAAACUGGAAAACUUGAGUGCAGAAGAGGAAAGUGGAAUUCCAUGUGUAGCGGUGAAAUGCGCAGAGAUAUGGAGGAACACCAGUGGCGAAGGCGACUUUCUGGUCUGUAACUGACGCUGAUGUGCGAAAGCGUGGGGAUCAAACAGGAUUAGAUACCCUGGUAGUCCACGCCGUAAACGAUGAGUGCUAAGUGUUAGGGGGUUUCCGCCCCUUAGUGCUGCAGCUAACGCAUUAAGCACUCCGCCUGGGGAGUACGACCGCAAGGUUGAAACUCAAAGGAAUUGACGGGGACCCGCACAAGCGGUGGAGCAUGUGGUUUAAUUCGAAGCAACGCGAAGAACCUUACCAAAUCUUGACAUCCUUUGACAACUCUAGAGAUAGAGCUUUCCCCUUCGGGGGACAAAGUGACAGGUGGUGCAUGGUUGUCGUCAGCUCGUGUCGUGAGAUGUUGGGUUAAGUCCCGCAACGAGCGCAACCCUUAAGCUUAGUUGCCAUCAUUAAGUUGGGCACUCUAAGUUGACUGCCGGUGACAAACCGGAGGAAGGUGGGGAUGACGUCAAAUCAUCAUGCCCCUUAUGAUUUGGGCUACACACGUGCUACAAUGGACAAUACAAAGGGCAGCGAAACCGCGAGGUCAAGCAAAUCCCAUAAAGUUGUUCUCAGUUCGGAUUGUAGUCUGCAACUCGACUACAUGAAGCUGGAAUCGCUAGUAAUCGUAGAUCAGCAUGCUACGGUGAAUACGUUCCCGGGUCU